CCUACGGGGGGCAGCAGUGGGGGAUAUUGCACAAUGGGGGGAACCCUGAUGCAGCGACGCCGCGUGGGUGAAGGAGCGUUUCGGCGCGUAAAGCCCUAUCGGCGGGGAAGAAGAUGACGGUACCUGGCCAAGAAGCCCCGGCUAACUACUUGCCAGCAGCCGCGGUAAUACGUAGGGGGCAAGCGUUAGCCGGCUUUACUGGGUGUAAAGGGGGCGCAGACGGCAAUGCAAGCCAGGAGUGAAAGCCCGGGGCCCAACCCCGGGACUGCUCUUGGAACUGCAUGGCUGGAGUACAGGAGGGGCAGGCGGAAUUCCUAGUGUAGCGGUGAAAUGCGUAGAUAUUAGGAGGAACACCGGUGGCGAAGGCGGCCUGCUGGACUGUGACUGACGUUGAGGCCCGAAGGCGUGGGGAGCAAACAGGAUUAGAUACCCUUGUAGUC
rnacentral:rRNA from 1 species